GACGAACGCUGGCGGCGUGCUUAACACAUGCAAGUCGAACGGAAAGGCCCUGCUUUUGUGGGGUGCUCGAGUGGCGAACGGGUGAGUAACACGUGAGUAACCUGCCCUUGACUUUGGGAUAACUUCAGGAAACUGGGGCUAAUACCGGAUAGGAGCUCCUGCUGCAUGGUGGGGGUUGGAAAGUUUCGGCGGUUGGGGAUGGACUCGCGGCUUAUCAGCUUGUUGGUGGGGUAGUGGCUUACCAAGGCUUUGACGGGUAGCCGGCCUGAGAGGGUGACCGGCCACAUGGGGACUGGGAUACGGCCCAGACUCCUACGGGAGGAAGCAGUGGGGAAUAUGGCACAAGGGGCGGAAGCCGGAUGCAGCAACGCCGGGGGCGGGAUGACGGCCUUCGGGUGGAAAACCGCUUUCGCCUGUGACGAGGCGUGAGUGACGGUAAGGGGUAAAGAAGCACCGGCUAACUACGU
rnacentral:rRNA from 1 species